CUCAGGUGGGAGAGCCCAGACACCCUACGAAGAAAAUCCAUUUCAGCCGCUUGUAUCGCGAUCUCGUUCUUUCUGUCAUGACCCAAGGCUCAUGACUAUAGAUGAGGGUGGGAACGUAGAUUGGUAAAUCGAAAGCUUCGCUUUUUGACUCAGCUCUCUCUUCACCACGACGGUGUUAGCGCCCGCUUCACAGCAGACGCUGCGCCAAUCCGCCUGUCUAUCUCCCGCUCCCUUCUUCCCUCAUUCGUGAACCAGAUCCCGACAUACUCUGUCAAGGAGAAGCAGAGGCUCGUAUAAAUAUUACGAGCCCUCUGAUUGUAAUAUUUAUGCGAUAAUCUUACUCGUAUAAAAAUCUUAUACGAGUAAUAUUUUUACUCCUAUCAUAUUGAAUUAAAAGUAGGGAGGGCCUUGAUAAUAGUAAUUUUGGUAAAUUCACACUGGUGACGUCCUAGUCCGAGUUAAACGACAACAUAACAGGAUAACAACCGAUGGAAAUGAAAUGUGGGUCAUGAAAGGAACCGAAGGGACGAAGGCUGCUAACUUGUUGCUAGCUGGUGUCUAAACAAAUGAAGAUGAAAGGGGAAGCCAGAAAUCAGGUGUCAGAAAACCUAAAGACUUUCCUGUCCCAGAAGAGUCUCUGGCUCCACCAGAUCACCAACCAGUUCUAAGGAUGAACCUGCACAUUGUCUUCAUGGUGGAAGGCCUUUUUUUUUUAUACUGAGCAGGUGGCUACAUUUUAUCAACAGCAAAAACUGGGCCCUGUGAUGGACUGGUGAUCUGUCCAGGGUGAACCCCGCCUCUCAUCUGAUGACUGCUGGAGAUGGGCACCACCAGCCCCCCUCACCACCCUGCAAGGAUCAGCGUGUUCAGAUCAUGGAUGGAAAGAUUCCACACUUAAAACAGCUUCAUAGUUGAUGCUAGCAUCAACUGAUUCUAUGAUAUUGCUGGCUAUUUUUUCUACUUCUAACAUAAACAGGUAAAGAAGACACUCAGAAAUGUUUUUUCCACUCCAGGCAUCCAGUCCCAAUCAUCAUCAGUUCUGAUGUUGACUCAUACAUAGCGAGUCCACAAUGUCUUAAAAACUGUAAGUCAUAGUUUUUUCUUUGCCAUUUUUCUGUACACUUUAAAAUACGGUGCAAGUGCUUUCUCUGUUUAAUUGCUCUAUUGUUUAUUGUGUAGAUUUUUGUAAAGUGCAGUGAAUGGGAAUGUUCUGUAGAUCCUCACUGUUCAUAGGAAGGAGAAAUGUCAGUUUGUCUGGAGUAAAACUGGAAUUCUGUGACAUUGUUUUAAAACAAUACUCUGUACUUGGUGAAAUAUUUUUCACAUUUUCUCUAAAGUGUACCUAUUGUUUUAUUGUUCUAAUUUUCAUAAGCAUGUUAUCUUUAAACUUUGAAUGUAUUGACAAUUUGUACAAUUCUGUGAUAGUAUAAUGUACAAGUCUUACCCACAUUGAAAAAUGUGGUGAGACUUUAUUUGACGGGGUGUGCAUAAGACUGACAUGACACUGUCAUAAACAUGACAUAACACCUGUUAGGAACAUACUAACAGCUGUCAUAAUGUGAC